GUUUCCUCCGAGAUGACCGGUUAGCUGGAAAGUUCUUAAGUGUUGGAGUUUGUGGAAAAACCAAGGAGAAGGAUGAAGGAACAAAGAUUGUCUCAAUGCUAUAAAAAUCGUUAAUUUUUUUUUUUAAAUUAGAAUCAACAUAAACACAUUUAUUGGUGCAUCAAUGGCGCCGCAUCAAGACCAUCGUAGUCCCACAGCGCACAAUCAGAAAUCGAUGUAUUAUUUCCGGUCGCAACAAGAAUAAUACGUGACGACAAAAUGAAAAUGGGUCGAAAAAAUAAUCGUUGAACAAACA